ACUGUCUUUAUCACGGGGAGCGUGGUUGUGCCGAUGAUCGUUAAGUGAGGCCGAUCUUGCUGACACCGUGUAACAACACACGCGCGCCGCGCUAGUCAUUGGCGUUGGUGCAAUUUUUGAACCC